rnacentral:rRNA from 1 species
CAAUAGCGUAUAUUAAAGUUGUUGCAGUUAAAAAGCUCGUAGUUGGAUUUCGGAAUGGGCCAGUUGGUCCGCCUCACGGUGUGUUACUGGCUGGUCUGUUCUUCUUCGCAAAGACUGCGUGUGCUCUUUACUGAGUGUACGUAGGAUUUACGACGUUUACUUUGAAAAAAUUAGAGUGUUCAAAGCAGGCAUACCGCUUGAAUACAUGAGCAUGGAAUAAUGGAAUAGGACUUUGGUCUUAUUUUGUUGGUUUCUGAGACCGAAGUAAUGAUUAAGAGGGACAGUUGGGGGCAUUCGUAUUUCGUUGUCAGAGGUGAAAUUCUUGGAUUUACGAAAGACGAACAAUUGCGAAAGCAUUUGCCAAGAAUGUUUUCAUUAAUCAAGAACGAAAGUUAGAGGAU